rnacentral:rRNA from 1 species
GUACACGCUGUGACUAGCAUAUCAAUAAGCGGAGGAAAAGAAACUAACAAGGAUUCCCCUAGUAACGGCGAGUGAAGCGGGAAGAGCUCAAAUUUGAAAUCUUAAAGGGCUUCCCUUUACGAAUUGUAGUUUAAAGAAGUGUUUUCUGUUGAGGUUUUGGUAAAAGUUCUUUGGAAUAGGACAUCAUAGAGGGUGAGAAUCCCGUAUUUGACCUUUACUUUCAACUUUGUGAUACACUUUCAAAGAGUCGGAUUGUUUGGGAAUGCAGUCCAAAAUGGGUGGUAAAUUUCAUCUAAAGCUAAAUAUUGGCGAGAGACCGAUAGCGAACAAGUACCGUGAGGGAAAGAUGAAAAGAACUUUGAAAAGAGAGUUAAACAGUACGUGAAAUUGUCAAAAGGGAAGCGUUUGACACCAGUGUUGUUUUUCUGAAAAUCAAUUAAAGAACUGUUUAUGCUAAGCUGUUUAGACUUUAUCAGCUAUCUGUUUAGUUUUGAGCUUUUCUUUAAUGCACUUUUCAGUUAACAAGUCAACAUCAAUUUCUUUUGCUGUAAAAAAGCUUGAGGAAGGUGGCUUGAGAUUCGUCUUAAGUGUUUAUAGCCUCUUGCCUAUGCAGUCGGAGAGAUUGAGGUCUGCAGCGUAGAUCCUUCGGGGCUAAAUGCAUUUGUGCUAAGUUAUAGCAUUUUAUAGACAACUUGUUGACUAUGAUUUGUCUUGUAGCUUACUCGCUUAUGUUAUUUUACCUACGCUUAGGAUGUUGACUGAUAUGUAGUCGUA